rnacentral:rRNA from 1 species
GAUGAACGCUGGCGGCGUGCUUAACACAUGCAAGUCGAACGCGUCUCUUCGGAGACGAGUGGCGACCGGGUGAGUAAGACGUAGACGACCGACCCGGAAGUGGGGGACAACCCUCCGAAAGGAGGGCUAAUACCGCAUACGGUCACGCAAGCAGAAGCGUGAAGAAAGCAGAGAUGCGCUAUCGGGAGGGUCUGCGGCCCAUCAGGUAGUUGGCGGGGUAACAGCCCACCAAGCCGAUGACGGGUAGGGGGUGUGAGAGCAUGACCCCCCACACUGG